UACGUAGGGUGCAAGCGUUGUCCGGAUUUAUUGGGCGUAAGGAGCUCGUAGGCGGUUUGUCGCGUCGACUGUGAAAGCCCGGGGCUCAACUCCGGGUCUGCAGUCGAUACGGGCAGACUAGAGUGCGGUAGGGGAGAUUGGAAUUCCUGGUGUAGCGGUGGAAUGCGCAGAUAUCAGGAGGAACACCAAUGGCGAAGGCAGAUCUCUGGGCCGUAACUGACGCUGAGGAGCGAAAGCAUGGGGAGCGAACAGG
rnacentral:rRNA from 1 species